AUUGAACGCUGGCGGCAGGCUUAACACAUGCAAGUCGAGCGGGGGAAGGUAGCUUGCUACCGGACCUAGCGGCGGACGGGUGAGUAAUGCUUAGGAAUCUGCCUAUUAGUGGGGGACAACAUCUCGAAAGGGAUGCUAAUACCGCAUACGUCCUACGGGAGAAAGCAGGGGAUCUUCGGACCUUGCGCUAAUAGAUGAGCCUAAGUCGGAUUAGCUAGUUGGUGGGGUAAAGGCCUACCAAGGCGACGAUCUGUAGCGGGUCUGAGAGGAUGAUCCGCCACACUGGGACUGGGGCACGGCCCAGACUCCUACGGGAGGCAGCAGUGGGGAAUAUUGGACAAUGGGGGGAACCCUGAUCCAGCCAUGCCGCGUGUGUGAAGAAGGCAUUAUGGUUGUAAAGCACUUUAAGCGAGGAGGAGGCUACUUUAGUUAAUACCUAGAGAUAGUGGACGUUACUCGCAGAAUAAGCACCGGCUAACUCUGUGCCAGCCGCCGCGGUAA
rnacentral:rRNA from 1 species